rnacentral:rRNA from 1 species
ACCGGCAGCUCAAGUGGUGGCCAUUAUUAUUGGGCCUAAAGCGUUCGUAGCUGGUUUGUUAAGUGUCUGGGGAAAUCCUCCAGCUUAACUGGAAGAAGUCUCAUGGAUACUGACAGGCUAGGGCACGGGAGAGGAGAGUGGUACUCCAGGGGUAGUAGUGAAAUCCUGUAAUCCUUGGGGGACCACCUGUGGCGAAGGCGUCUCACCGGGACGGCUCUGACAGUGAGGAACGAAAGCUGGGGGAGCAAACCG